UACGUAGGGUGCUAGCGUUGUCCGGAUUUAUUGGGCGUAAAGGGCUCGUAGGCGGCGUGUCGCGUCGGGAGUGAAAGCCCGCUGCUUAACGGCGGGUUGGCUUCCGAUACGGGCAGACUAGAGUUCGGCAGGGGAGACUGGAAUUCCUGGUGUAGCGGUGAAAUGCGCAGAUAUCAGGAGGAACACCGGUGGCGAAGGCGGGUCUCUGGGCCGAUACUGACGCUGAGGAGCGAAAGCGUGGGGAGCGAACAGG
rnacentral:rRNA from 1 species